rnacentral:rRNA from 1 species
GAUGAACGCUAGCUACAGGCUUAACACAUGCAAGUCGAGGGGAAACGACAUCGAAAGCUUGCUUUUGAUGGGCGUCGACCGGCGCACGGGUGAGUAACGCGUAUCCAACCUGCCCACCACCUGGGGAUAACCUUGCGAAAGUAAGACUAAUACCCAAUGAUAUCUCUAGAAGACAUCUGAAAGAGAUUAAAGAGUUAUCGGUGAUGGAUCGGGAUGCGUCUGAUUAGCUUGUUGGCGGGGUAACGGCCCACCAAGGCUACGAUCAGUAGGGGUGCUGAGAGGAAGGUCCCCCACAUUGGAACUGAGACACGGUCCAACCUCCUACGGGAGGCAGCAGUGAGGAAUAUUGGUCAAUGGGCGAGAGCCUGAACCAGCCAAGUAGCGUGCAGGAUGAUGGCCCUAUGGGUUGUAAACUGCUUUUAUAAGGGAAUAAAGUGAGUCUCGUGAGACUUUUUGCAUGUACCUUAUGAAUAAGGACCGGCUAAUUCCGUGCCAGCCGCCGCCGUAA